rnacentral:rRNA from 1 species
AUACCUUGCCGGCGUGCUUAAUACAUGCAAGUAGACCGGUUAAAGCUUGGUGCUUGCCCGACCGAUAGUUGCGACGGUUAGUAACGCGUAGGUAACCUGCCUCUUAGCGGGGGAUACUAUUGGAACGAUAGCUAAUCCGCAUAAAAGUCGAUAUCGCAGAUAUGAUUUGAAAGGUGCAAAUGCAUCAUAAGAGAUGGACCUGCGUUGUAUUAGCUAGUUGGUAGGUAACGGCUCACCAAGGCGACGAUACAUAGCCGACCUGAGAGGGUGAUCGGCCACACUGGGACUGAGACACGGCCCAGACUCCUACGGGAGGCAGCAGUAGGGAAUCUUCGGCAAUGGGGGCAACCCUGACCGAGCAACGCCGCGGAGUGAAGAAGGUUUUCGGAUCGUAAAGCUCUGUUGUAAGAGAAGAACGAGUGUGAGAGUGGAAAGUUCACACUGUGACGGUAACUUACCAGAAAGGGACGGCUAAACC